UACGGAGGGGGCUAGCGUUGUUCGGAAUUACUGGGCGUAAAGCGCACGUAGGCGGCUUUGCAAGUCAGAGGUGAAAGCCCGGGGCUCAACCCCGGAAUUGCCUUUGAGACUGCAUCGCUAGAAUUGUGGAGAGGUGAGUGGAAUUCCGAGUGUAGAGGUGAAAUUCGUAGAUAUUCGGAGGAACACCAGUGGCGAAGGCGGCUCACUGGCUCGGUACUGACGCUGAGGUGCGAAAGCGUGGGGAGCAAACAGG
rnacentral:rRNA from 1 species